GGUAAAAUGGCUGAGUGGAAGCAUUAGACUGUAAAUCUAAAGACGGGGCGGGGAGCCCCUUUUGCCA
ensembl:Mt_tRNA